ACUUUGAACGUUGUGUAGUAUUUAAACUUCUGAAAACAGAAAGACAAUCAGAACUCAUCUAAAGAAUGAAGGCUUUGCUAGUAUUCUUCCUGAUUUCUAUUGGUGGAAUAUCCACAUUAGUUUCAUGUCAAAGUACGCAUCGUUCGGAAAAUGUUUUUGAUGUCUACAACCUUCGACUUUGCUCUGACGAAGAAAAAAGUGGAAUUUGCGAACUCCAUUGCAAGAUGGCUGGACAAAGGAUUUGUACGCGAACGUAUUACCCUUGCAAAUGUUAUGAUUUCUGAGAUGACAAAGUUUGUGGUUAUUGUGGUAAUAGUUUAUAGUUUCUAAUCGAAUUUUAACGUACUUAAUGAGUAAUUUUCGAAACAUUAUAAUAAAAGUUGCUAAAAUCAUAAUUUUUCAUAUUUUAUUGUUUUAGUUUAAGAUUUUCAAAUAAUUUAAAAACAUUAUUCAGUUUCAAUGUGUUCAAAUAACGCCUUCAGACUAUUUUAAAACUAAUUUAAAAAUAAAAAAAUAGUUUUAUCAAA